GACGCCUUGGUAGUGACCGUAGUGGUGUUUUGUUAGUUUUCAUUAUAUUUGUAUUACUUUCGGUGGCAAAAAUUCUAUAGCCAAACCUAAGUUUUUAAUUAGGUAUGACAAAUUAAUGUUGUUUAAAUCACCAUGUAAUUACAUUUUUCUUAUAUUUAUUUCUCUGAGUGUCUAUCUGCCUUGUGUUAGAUAGGUAAACUUAAAUUUAUAGACCCUCGUAUUUUAAAAUUAUUUUAUACUACAAAAAGUAUAAUCCAAUUAACCAAGCAUAAUUCUACGUAUUUAUAAUGUUUAUUAAAUUUAAUUUAAUAGUGAAAAUUGUGUUAUUAUGUAUAAAAAUUGAGAAGAUGAACACCACGGCUUAUGAUAUAUCAUAUUUUAAACCAUUUGGACAAUGGCCAGGUCUUUAUCGACCGCUACAGUCUGUGCGAAAACAACAAUCAAUACCAUAUAGAUGUUAUGUUCCUAUGCAUUGGACCGAUUGUAUCAUCACUCCCAAAGAUAUCGUGAUUGAUACUUCAUAUCUGAACACAAAAAUUGGGUUGCAGCAACCAAGGAAUAAACAAUUGAAUGGCUUGAUAUAUCAAAAUGAUCGUAAUUUUAACAUGGUCGGCAAUCUCCAACCACUCCUUCCAGUAUACGACAAAUCUAGUUUACCUGCGAGACCAAUGGAAUCGGUACAUUCACUUAUACCAAUUAAUGGAAGAAAAUCAUUUGACGCCAAUAAAAAUAAUUUGUUAUUAUCGCUAAAACCGUCCAAUACAUCUGUUGAAUUGUAUACAAAUAGUGACAUAAUAAAACCAAGUAACAUGCCAAUCGUUUUGGGACCUAUAGCAAAACCGUUAGUACAGCUUCCAACUGGAGUAAUUUCGAAUGACACGAAUAAACAAACAGCAAAUAAACAAGGAAAUAAAUUAUUACUGUUAGAUAAAUUCAAGGAGGCUCUGGAAAAGUUAGAACUUAAAUUUUAUAUGACAACGUUUACCAAAUUAUCAUCAUCUGGUUCAGAAGGACGCCGUGAGAACGGUAUUAGCUUCGUGCAAUCAGCAUUAUUUCUGCAGCUUCAUUUGAUGGCAAUUUCAACCGAAGUGGAUAAUAUUACAAAAGCAGAGAUCGACGAUUGCAUAGGACUUCAUAUUUCAGAUGCGGAUAAAAUAGAACUAAUAAAGGCUGUAUUACCAACAUUACCGAAUACGAACAUGGACCUCGUGUUCCGGUGGCAGUCGCGGCUGGUUUUGGGGGCCGGUCAGAACGUCAGCGAACAAUUCAUACAUGGCGCUGCUGCUGCAUUACAACUACAUUUAGUUCAUUUUCAUCCUGAAGAAUCAGCUCAGUCACUUUCACAGAAACUUAAUCGCAUGGUGGAAGAAGAUUCAAAAGGCGCGAUGCAUGAUACAUUUGAAGAGGAAGAGUUUUCCGAAGGCUUGCGAGCUCUGGCAAUGAACACGCUGUACCUCCGCGGCCGUUGGCGCUCCGCCCCCACGGUACUAAAUGGUUCAUGGCCGUUUCGCGACGCCGAUGGCGCCCCCCGUAGGACUGUGCGUAUGAUACGCAUUAAUGACAUCAUGCGUUAUGGGGAUUUAACAGAAUGUAAUGCUGAGGCUAUAGAGGUAGCUUAUGCGACACCUGGCCUCACUCUUCUCAUAUUGGUGCCUCGCGGAAGAUCUUUAAGAAAGCUGGCCAGCCAUGUAGUUGCCAAUACCUUACAUGAUAUUACAGAAAAAAUGACCACCAUGAGGGUGGCUGCUACGCUACCGCUAUACACACUGCGCAUGACGCUGUUACUGCCAAGUAAACUGCAAACAAUGGGAAUAUCAGGGCUCUUCAACACAAAUAUAACGGAUAAUGGACAGUUGAGAUUAUCUCAUGGUGUUCAAAGACUGAUGUUUUGGGCAGAGGCAGGUCGCAAUGCAUUUAAAGAUGAUGGUACAUAGUAAUAACUGCCAGACAAUCACAAUCGCCUAGCCCUCAAGAUACCCUGUAUUAUUAGGAACCAGGCGACGAACUUCUAGGGGUACAACCCAGAUCCAAUCCAAACAAGUUCGUUGUCUAAAUUGGCCCUCCGGAAAUGGAACCAGGGAUCUCAUCAUUAAAGAUUAUUUAUAUAAAGCAACGUGCCCACACCGGAAUUGAAUGGGAAGAGACACCUGAAUAUGAAAUGGUUGUAGAUAGACCGUAUAUGUUCUUCGUGCGCUGGCACAAUAUGACACUUCUGAAUGGUAAUUUUGUGCUAUAGCUGCAUUAACUGAAUUGAAUUUAAAUAUUUCGAGGACAUGUUGAUUAAUUAACCUUAAUACUAAUAGAAAUAAAAUUAAUGAAAAACA